rnacentral:rRNA from 1 species
UCGUCGCGAUCGCCUUACGGCUCAGUAACACGUGGAUAACCUACCCUCAGAUCUGGGAUAACUCCGGGAAUCUGGAGAUAAUACCGGAUAAUCCGUGAACGCUGGAAUGCCUCACGGUUGAAAGCUUUUGCGUCUGAGGAUGGGUCUGCGGCCGAUUAGGUAGUUGCUGGGGUAACGUCCCAACAAGCCGAUAAUCGGUACGGGUUGUGAGAGCAAGAGCCCGGAGAUGGAUUCUGAGACACGAAUCCAGGUCCUACGGGGCGCAGCAGGCGCGAAAACUUUACACUGCGCGAAAGCGCGAUAAGGGGACCUCGAGUGCGUGCGCAAUGCGUACGCUUUUCAGAUGCCUAAAAAGCAUGUGGAAUAAGGGCCGGGCAAGACCGGUGCCAGCCGCCGCGGUAACACCGGCGGCUCAAGUGGUGGCCGCUAUUAUUGGGCUUAAAGGGUCCGUAGCCGGACCAGUUAGUCCCUUGGGAAAUCUUACGGCUUAACCGUAAGGCUGCCAAUGGAUACUGCUGGUCUUGGGACCGGGAGAGGUAAGAGGUACCUCAGGGGUAGGAGUGAAAUCCUGUAAUCCUUGAGGGACCGCCAGUGGCGAAAGGCGUCUUACUAGAACGGGUCCGACGGUGAGGGACGAAAGCUAGGGGCACGAACCGGAUUAGAUACCCGGGUAGUCCUAGCCGUAAACGAUGCGAGCUAGGUGUCACGUGAUUGCGAAUCCAUGUGUGCCGAAGGAAACCGUGAAGCUCGCGCUGGGAAGUACGGCCGCAAGGCUGAAACUAAAGAAUUGCGGGGGGAGCACAAGGGCGAAUCGUUAACUGCAGACUAGUCCUUAGGAGGUAAUCUGGAGCUGGCGUAUCAUGUCAUAGCCUGUCCUGGGUGCAAUUGUUUUCCGCUCACAUCCACAAUACUAUCGAGAGUCGAAGCUUAAGUGUAAAGGCUUGGGGUGCCUUAUGAUGUGGAGCUAUCUACACUCCACC